AGUGAACGCUGGCGGUAGGCCUAACACAUGCAAGUCGAACGGCAGCACAGGAGAGCUUGCUCUCUGGGUGGCGAGUGGCGGACGGGUGAGGAAUACAUCGGAAUCUACUCUGUCGUGGGGGAUAACGUAGGGAAACUUACGCUAAUACCGCAUACGACCUACGGGUGAAAGCAGGGGACCUUCGGGCCUUGCGCGAUUGAAUGAGCCGAUGUCGGAUUAGCUAGUUGGCGGGGUAAAGGCCCACCAAGGCGACGAUCCGUAGCUGGUCUGAGAGGAUGAUCAGCCACACUGGAACCGAGACACGGUCCAGACUCCUACGGGAGGCAGCAGUGGGGAAUAUUGGACAAUGGGCGCAAGCCUGAUCCAGCCAUACCGCGUGGGUGAAGAAGGCCUUCGGGUUGUAAGGCCCUUUUGUUGGGAAAGAAAUCCAGCUGGCUAAUACCCGGUUGGGAUGACGGUACCCAAAGAAUAAGCACCGGUUAACUUCGUGCCAGCCGCCGCCGUAA
rnacentral:rRNA from 1 species